CCUACGGGCGGCAGCAGUAGGGAAUAUUGCUCAAUGGGGGAAACCCUGAAGCAGCAACGCCGCGUGGAGGAUGAAGGUUUUCGGAUUGUAAACUCCUUUUGUUAGAGAAGAUAAUUACGGUAUCUAACGAAUAAGCACCGGCUAACUCCGUGCCAGCAGCCGCGGUACUACGGAGGGUGCAAGCGUUACUCGGAUUCACUGGGCGUAAAGGGCGCGUAGGCGGGAUAGAAAGUCAGUUGUGAAAUACUAUGGCUUAACCGUAAAACUGCAUUUGAAACUGUUAUCCUAGAGUACAGGAGAGGUAGGUGGAAUUCUUGGUGUAGCGGUAAAAUGCGUAGAUAUCAAGAGGAACACUGAUUGCGAAGGCGACUUACUAAAACGUAACUGACAUUGAUGCUCGAAAGUGUGGGUAUCAAACAGGAUUAGAUACCCCGGUAGUC
rnacentral:rRNA from 1 species